GGCCUUGACAUACUAAGAACUUUCCAGAGAUGGAUUGGUGCCUUCGGGAACUUAGAUACAGGUGCUGCAUGGCUGUCGUCAGCUCGUGUCGUGAGAUGUUGGGUUAAGUCCCGNAACGAGCGCAACCCUCUUCCUUAUUUGCCAGCGGGUAAUGCCGGGAACUUUAAGGAUACUGCCAGUGACAAACUGGAGGAAGGCGGGGACGACGUCAAGUCAUCAUGGCCCUUACGGCCAGGGCUACACACGUGCUACAAUGGUCGGUACAAAGGGUUGCUACCUCGCGAGAGGAUGCUAAUCUCAAAAAGCCGAUCGUAGUCCGGAUCGCAGUCUGCAACUCGACUGCGUGAAGUCGGAAUCGCUAGUAAUCGCGGAUCAGAAUGCCGCGGUGAAUACGUUCCCGGGCCUUGUACACGCCGCCCGUCACACCAUGGGAGUUUGUUGCACCAGAAGUAGGUAGUCUAACCGCAAGGAGGACGCUUACCACGGUGUGGCCGAUGACUGGGGUGAAGUCGUAACAAGGUAAGCGUAGAUGA
rnacentral:rRNA from 1 species